rnacentral:rRNA from 1 species
UUCCGGUUGAUCCUGCCGGACCUGACUGCUAUCGGAUUGAUACUAAGCCAUGCGAGUCAUUGUAGCAAUACAAGGCAGACGGCUCAGUAACGCGUAGUCAACCUACCCUAUGGACGGGAAUAACCUCGGGAAACUGAGAAUAAUGCCCGAUAGAACACUAUGUCUGGAAUGGUUUGUGUUCCAAAUGAUUUAUCGCCGUAGGAUGGGACUGCGGCCUAUCAGUUUGUUGGUGAGGUAAUGGCCCACCAAGACUAUUACAGGUACGGGCUCUGAGAGGAGUAGCCCGGAGAUGGGUACUGAGACACGGACCCAGGCCCUAUGGGGCGCAGCAGGCGAGAAAACUUUGCAAUGUGCGAAAGCACGACAAGGUUAAUCCGAGUGGUUUCUGCUAAAGGAACCUUUUGUCGGUCCUAGAAACACCGAUGAAUAAGGGGUGGGCAAGUUCUGGUGUCAGCCGCCGCGGUAAAACCAGCACCUCAAGUGGUCAGGAUGAUUAUUGGGCCUAAAGCAUCCGUAGCCUGCUUUGUAAGUUUUCGGUUAAAUCUGUACGCUCAACGUACAGGCUGCCGGGAAUACUGCAAAGCUAGGGAGUGGGAGAGGUAGACGGUACUCGGUAGGAAGGGGUAAAAUCCUUUGAUCAAUUGAUGACCACCUGUGGCGAAGGCGGUCUACCAGAACACGUCCGACGGUGAGGGAUGAAAGCUGGGGGAGCAAACCGGAUUAGAUACCCGGGUAGUCCCAGCCGUAAACCAUGCAAACUCAGUGAUGCAUUGGCUUGUGGCCAAUGCAGUGCUGCAGGGAAGCCGUUAAGUUUGCCGCCUGGGAAGUACGUGCGCAAGUAUGAAACUUAAAGGAAUUGGCGGGGGAGCACCACAAGGGGUGAAGCCUGCGGUUCAAUUGGAGUCAACGCCGGG